GAUGAACGCUGGCGGCGUGCCUAAUACAUGCAAGUCGAGCGAACAGACGAGGAGCUUGCUUCUCUGACGUUAGCGGCGGACGGGUGAGUAACACGUGGAUAACCUACCUAUAAGACUGGGAUAACUUCGGGAAACCGGAGCUAAUACCGGAUAAUAUAUUGAACCGCAUGGUUCAAUAGUGAAAGACGGUUUUGCUGUCACUUAUAGGUGGAUCCGCGCCGCAUUAGCUAGUUGGUAAGGUAACGGCUUACCAAGGCAACGAUGCGUAGCCGACCUGAGAGGGUGAUCGGCCACACUGGAACUGAGACACGGUCCAGACUCCUACGGGAGGCAGCAGUAGGGAAUCUUCCGCAAUGGGCGAAAGCCUGACGGAGCAACGCCGCGUGAGUGAUGAAGGUCUUCGGAUCGUAAAACUCUGUUAUUAGGGAAGAACAAAUGUGUAAGUAACUAUGCACGUCUUGACGGUACCUAAUCAGAAAGCCACGGCUAACUACGUG
rnacentral:rRNA from 1 species